GCAAGCCAUAGAAUGAAAGAAAAUAUUUGCAAACCAUAUAUCUGAAAGUAGAUUAGUAUCCAGAAUAAAGAAUUCUUACAACACAACACAACAACAACAAUAACCAAAAAAAUGGUUAAAGGUUUUGAGUAGCUAUUUCUUCAAAGAAGAUAUAGGUGAUAAGCACAUGAAAAGACCUCAUCAUAACUAGCCACAGGAAAAUGCAAAUUAAAACCACAAUGAUCCAUUGUGGUUCAUUCACUUCGUACCCAUUAGAUUAGUUAUUAUAAAAACAAAACAAAAACAGAAAAGAACAAGUCUAGUAAGGAUGUAGAGAAAUUGGCACACUUGUGUUUUACUGAUAAGAAUGUAAAAUGGUCCAGCCUUGUGGAAGACACUAUGAUAGAUCCUCAAAUAAUUAAACAUUGAAUUACUGUAUGAUCCAGCAACUUCACUCUUGGGUAUAUACCCCCAAGAAUUGAAAACAAGAACUCAAACAGAUAUUUGUACACCAAUGUUUAUAGUAGCAUUAUUUGCAGUAGCCAAAGGUGGAAGCAAUCCAAAUGUCUGUCAGCAGAUGAAUACAUAAACAAAAUAUAAUGGAUAUUAUUUGGCCUUUAAAAGGCCAAAUGUGAUGAAAUGUGAUACCACGUGAACAAACUUUAAAGGUAUUAUGGUGAGUGAAAUAAGACAGACACAAAAGGACAAAUAUUGCAUGAGUCUACCUAUAUGAGAUAUUCAGAGUAGUCAAAUUUAUAGUCAGAAACGGUAGUUGUCAGGGCUGGGGGGUGGGGGAAAUGGGGAAUUAUUUUUUAAUGAGUGUGGAGUUUCAGUUUUAGGAAGAUGAAAGAGUUCUGGAACGUGAAUAUAUUCAUGAUGUUAAACUUAAGUUGUACACUUAAAAUGGUUAAAAUGAUAAAUUUUAUGUUGUUUACUUUACCACAUUUAAAAAAACAUCCCUGGAAAUCCAAAUGAAAAUAAGAUGACAAGCCUGGGAGAAAAUUGAGGAUGGCUUCUUGGAGGAGGAGGUCUUCCACAGAAUGGUUGUUUGGGUCCUCUGCAAUGGGGAGCGGAAGGCGGAAGCCUCCUCUGUUUGCAACUUUGCUGUGUGAGCCUUCUAAAUGUAAGUCAGAUGUGUAUGGGGGAUAGACAGAGGGUGUUUAUCUGGGGAGGAUUUUCUCCAAAAGAUUAUCUCGUAUAGUAGAUGACAGACUUGGGUUAGAUGGUGGCUCUUUUCUACUCUUAAAUACUCUGACUCACUUAUUUGAAUAAUAAUUUCUCAGUUCAUUCCAUGUACCAGGCACCGUGUAAGGCAAAUAAAACAGUGAAUGGCAGGCA
rnacentral:lncRNA from 1 species